GAAUGUGUCAAGAGAGGAAUCCCGUUUUGGAGAUGAGAGAAAAUUGACCCUUCUUCGAGCUAUCCCAUCAACACACGUGCUAUUUGGCACCAUGCAGUCCCAACUAACAUGUGGUGAGCAUUUUCUAGCAAAACGACCUUUGCCUCGUGGAGAGUCGUUGACCCCGAGAAAAGAACGAUCUUAACGUGGACCGCUGCAUUCUGCUCCUUUCAUCCACUCUCCAGACCGCCCAGUCGGUCGCCAUGACAACCGCCAUUUUCAUCCAAGUGUAAUUCACUGCAAGUGGUUGGUUCCCUGCAGCACGGAUACGAGAAUUUCGAUAAGAACUGCGGAUGGAAUUAGUUGUGAGGUUGAAGUUACUGGAAUAAAUUUUUCCAAAUUUGGUAUUAGUUUUUCGGGGUAAUUUAUUAAACAUAAUCAAUCGUUUUAAGCCGAAAAAGACUGCCGAUGAAAUAUUCGGGAAUUUGAUCUCGUUUUUCUCCUUACUCGUCAUUAAGUGCUGAAAUUGUAAAUUAUUUCAGAAUUCUGCAGUAUAAAUUAUUUGUUUUCUAAAUAAUACAAUAGUUUCAAAUUUUCUAAUGAAUCAGAGCUUUUUACAUCAGAGAUCUUGUUCUUUAACUAUUAGGAAUUAUGUUUUUAUUAUAGGGAAAGAUUCGAAAGAAUGGAGGAAGAAAUGAAAGAUUCGAAAGAAUGGAAUGGUCUUUGAGCAGAAGUUAGAGUAAUAUCUGUUCAAAGACAGGCUGCGAGGGGGGAGGCGAGAGAACUUUUACAAAAGGCAUCUUCAAGAAGAAAUAUUUUUAAGAAACACUGGCAUAUGCGCCUAAAUCAUGUAUUAAAUCGAAGCCAUUGUGUCACAGGAUAUUGCCGAAAAAAUUUCCAUCAGAUCUUCGACUUCUGUUCUGAUAAACUGUGAUUUGUCCACUUAGCCCCAUUUUUCUGGGACACUCUCGAGAGCAAGAAUUACGAGCAUUAACUCUCACAGCCAGCCCAACACGGAUCCUUUCAUCCUACACGAAAAUCACAUUAAGAGAGCUUUGUGAAAUGCCUCUUAGAUCAACCCCGCCAUUCAUCAAAUGCCACCUCAGCCGUGGAGCUUCCAAAAAUAUUUUGAUUUUCGAAGCCAGCUCGAAAAAUAAUCGAGGCAGAAAGCCAAGUUCCAUCCUUUUCCCCGCCGCUCAUUUUUCUUUCCAACUCAGCGUCUCGUGAAUGGGACAAGAUAUACGUAACAACUCCACCCGCAUCAGUUAUCCUUGUCAAAAGAAUCUGUCGUUGUGACACUUUCACGUGACACUGUCACUCGGCGCUAACUUGAAGUAGCGCCAACAUGUGAGCAACUUGUCAGACGUGUUUGCCUUCCUUCCCAUUCACGAAUUCGUUCAGAAACUUGCGUUCUUUUUACUCGAGAACAUGCUAAUGUUUGUUACAGUACCUAGCUUUUAAAUCCAUCAUUCUAUAGGACUCCCAAGUGCUCUAUACCAGCGUUCGUCAACCCUUAGAACUUCACGGACCACUACACAUAUAAUUUUAUAUUUGGCGGACAACUAACAUAAAUUUUAAAAAAAGGUAAAUACAUUUAUACAAUUAUAAUCGGCAAACUACACGCACUUCGGUCACAUUGAAAAAUUACAUGAAAAGUACAAAAAUCUUACCUUCUUGUACAGAAAGCUUCACAUUUCCAUAUCACUGAAAGGAACUUCACGAAAAGCAAGAACAAAUUGGCAAACGCAAAGCGAUAUCAGGAAACUGAUAGUGUUAUGCCGCCAAUUUUUAAUUAUUGUAAACAUAAUAAUCACCGCUUACUCAGCAAUGACGUCAUCGAUCAAUAGUUAGACAAAACAAAAACGCGGAACAAGGAUGCGGAUGAACCAUCUUGUUUAUAAUUCCAUCAAGUUCCAUCCAUAAUAAUCCAUCAAGUUGCCUAUUGACACGGAGAAAAACUGUGUUAUUAAAAACUACAAUAGCAUAUGUUUGUAAUUCAAAAGGAAAGAGAAUUACAGUUCGCGCUAAUAUUGAAUCCAUGGAUGCCAAUUCUCACUUUCAAAUGUCGCUAGAUAUACCUACAAAAGUAGCUAAAAAAUCACUAAAUUCAGAAGGAAUUUCGCUAAAAGUAGAAGCUAAAAUUUAAAAAAAAGUAUAAUCCAUAUUUCAUAAUAGGUUUUGCUAUUCGUCAUUUUUUAAGCUGAAUCUUCAUAAAAAUAUAAAUAAUGUUCCAAUUUUUCUGCGAACCAGCAAAAAGUUAUCACGGACCACCCACCGGUUUGCGACCGCUGCUCUAGAUAUUGGAAGAAGGAGGAAAUCUUCCACUACGCUGUAGGAUCGUGUUUUCUUUGGUAACAUAAACUCUACUAGAUCCUACAAAGAACUUGGUGACUUCUCACACAGGCGUAAAUGAUACCGGCACAAAAGAAGAGUAAAAAUAAAACUCUGAACAGAAAUGGCACGUACUACGUGCUUACAAUAACACCGACAGCUUGUGUUGGAACCUAAGAAUCGUUACACAAUAAAUUUAACGUUUUUCAACUAACACCAAGCUAAGGCUAACUAGGUUGACUCGACAACCUACCCGGCGUGAUACUUAUUUAAAUGGCCAAAAAGGCGUAUCAGCAACUCCGCGUAGCAGCAAGGACAGACUCGUAACGUGCGCUGGCUAGUGAAAACACGCUCUGACUUCACCCGCGUAAAUAUUCACUUCACUUAACUCUAAAUUUGCAUCCUGGCGAGGAAAUGCGAGGGGAAGUUCAGGAGUUCAGAAAAGAUUUAAAAAAAUUUUAAUAAUUGGUUAAUUGAAUUAAGGCAAACCGUACGGUAAAGUAGACAAUAAAAAUUGCAUUGAAUACAGUGAAACUACCUUGAGACGAUCCACGUUUCAGAUGAUUUUAGGAACGCUUCAGAGGUGGUCACUUCAGAGAGCAUAAUAAUCAGUAAUGUUCAAUACGGUUACUUAAUUAUAUAGGUAUAUCCAAAUGAAUCCACUGCAAGAGUAUUGGUAAAGCUCCUUUAACUCAGACUGACUUUUUUAAUUGCACAGAUACGUUGCAGUUUUGCAAUUGUUGAAAGAAAUGGCGGUACUCUUCUUGCAGAGAUUUUCUUGAUGUGAAGAUGUUCAUGUAGAAUACGCAAAACUGUUGUUUUAGAUAGAAUUAAAUCCAAUCUUGCUGCUGUCUCUUUGGCUUUCAAUCUCCUGUUACUCAGUAUUUCCUACGGGGCAAGAGCAAUAUUUGUCGAUGCCAAUAUCUUCAGUGGUCGACCUUAACGAGACUCAUCCACGGAUUGCCAGCCGAUACAAAAUUGGUUUACUCAUCGUUUCCCUGCACAAUAUAGGACGGAGAUAAAUCAUACUCCAAACUUCUUUUUUAUUUCUUUGAGAUUAAGGCCGUCGUUAGUCAAAAACUUAAUCAUUAAACGAAACUCAGCUUUAAACAUUCCAGAAUUAACUAGCAUUGCACUACAUUCAGUAGACAGUAAAAAAAAAAAAAAAAAAAAAAAAAAAAAACUGUUUCU